AUCAUUCCUUAGGGGAGCAGGGAGCCGAGGCAAUGGCCUCAAAGCCUGAGAAGCGGGUCGCCUCAUCAGUCUUUAUCACCCUGGCACCCCCACGUCGAGAUGAGGCUGUGGCUGAGGGAGUGAGGCGGGCAGCUUGUGAGGCCCGGCCUGGCUGCCCCUGGAAGUCUCCUGCCCCCACGAAGGCACCUGGUGCUGGCUCGGCGGGGAGGCCUAGUCCCUGGACACCCCCUGGCAGGGCUGUGGCCACAGUGCCAGCUGUACCCCCUCAGCUCUCCAAUGGAGGAUGUUCUCUUCCUCCUCCUACCCUGGAUGGCGAAGACGCACUACCUGACCUGGACCUCCUCCCACCUCCGCCACCGCCCACACCGGCAUACCUGCCUCCUCCUGAGGACGAGUCCUCUGCCUCAAUGGGGACAUUACUCAUUUCGGACUUAGAGCAACUGCACCUGCCCCCACCCCCGCCCCCACCACAGGUGUCCCCACAGUCCCUGGUGGAGGGGCCUCCACUCCAGGCUCGGCCCAGUCAUCUCUGGCCUGCAGAGGAGCUCCCGCCUCCCCCAGAAGAAGCUGUUGGCUUCCCCGAAAAAGAGGCAUCCACAGACGUCUGUGCCUUCUGCCACAAGACUGUAUCCCCCCGAGAGCUGGCCGUGGAAGCCAUGAAGAGGCAGUACCACGCCCAGUGCUUCACGUGCCGCACGUGCCGCCGCCAGCUGGCUGGGCAGAGCUUCUACCAGAAGGAUGGGCGGCCCCUCUGCAAACUGUGCUACCAGGAUACCCUGGAGAAGUGUGGCAAGUGUGGUGAGGUGGUCCAGGAACACAUCAUCAGGGCCCUGGGCCGGGCCUUCCACCCAACCUGCUUCACAUGUGUGACCUGUGCCCGGUGUAUCGGGGACGAGAGCUUUGCCCUGGACAACCAGAAUGAAGUGUACUGCCUGGACGACUUCUAUAGGAAAUUUGCCCCUGUGUGCAGCAUUUGUGAGAAUCCCAUCAUCCCCCGAGACGGGAAGGAUGCCUUCAAAAUCGAGUGCAUGGGAAGAAACUUCCAUGAAAACUGCUACAGGUGUGAGGACUGCAGGAUCCUCCUGUCUGUGGAGCCCACGGACCAAGGCUGCUACCCGCUGAAUGACCGCCUUUUCUGCAAGCCGUGCCACGUGAAGCGGAGUGCCGCAGGGUGCUGCUGAGAGCUCCCCCCAGGCCUGGGGGCCCUGAGCCGCCCACCAGCCCCGGUCGGGGGAACCCUUCCCUGACUCGGUUUCCCUUCCUGACCUCCUGCUCUUGCACACUUUCCUUCCGAGCCACAACAGGGACCAGCCCAUCAUGUCCGCAUCAGGGGCUGAGCGACCCCAGCCCCGGCCCCCUCCCAGCUCAGGGCGGGUGGCAGGAGACAGCGCCACUCAGACUUUCACGUCUUCCUCUCCUCUGGGCACUGGAAGCCUUCCAUACCAUAAGCAUCAGGCCCGGGGGGCAUGUCUCUGAGGCUCUGGCCCCUCUCGAGCGCUAGCCUUGACCCCAUUUCCAGGGAUGAGUUGGGUCAAGUCUCCAGGUGGUCUCCUGUGUACCUAGCCGUGACACUUUAGUUGUCCCAUAGGGGGGUGCUGAGAUCAGCUCUGGCUUGCAGGACUGAGCUGUUUUAGUAAAACUCCAAGGUCCCUUAAAAAGCGCUUUUUUAAAAAUGUGAGGUUUAAAUAAUGGAGAACAUUCUUUGGAUGGGGCGUAGGUGGAUCUUAAUAGGAAAUGUCUCCCAUUUGUUCAUAAACGCACAAGAAUGUGACCUGGCGGUGGUGUGGCCAUGGACUUCUCACCUGGGCGACGUGGGCCUAGCUAGGCCUAGCUGCGAAUCUGAAGAGCAGGGGCAGGAGGAGAGGGAGACAUGCUGAGGCCCAAGGACAUCGGCAAGCCCUCCACCCUGCCUCUGGCGUUCCCGUUUGCAACAAGACAGCAAGAGGGGCUGAUAAAGUGAUGUAGGAGUCCUGAGAGGGGAGACGCGUACCCUGGAUUGCUGUCCUCGAAAGGCUAGCCAUCGCAGUGUGCAAACCCAGAGAGAAGCUGCCGACGGACCUGGGCUUUCUGAAGACAGGUGCCGUGUACAGCCACUAGAGGGCAGCAUGGGCUAGCGGACUGGGCGUGGAGCCCUGGGGACCAAUGUUAUCAUGCCUCUGGGGGGGUUAGUCCUCAGCUUUCCAGAUGCAAGAUGGGAAUACUUCCUGCCCGCCCACCGCACGUGAUUGCAGGGAGGAAGAGAGAAGAAAAGAACUGGAAAACAAGACAGUGAACAAGCGAUGUGGCUGUGGAAUUGCUUCAAUUAGAACACAUCUUGGAGGGAGACCCAUGCCUCAGGAGACUGAAUUCCUCAUUCACCCAAACUCCUACCUGCUAGGAGGGUCUCACCUGGGAGCUCCUGCACUGCCACCCUUGCAAGUUGGUACUUGGGAACCUGGGCUCAAUAAGCAUAUAAUCGGGACAGGACCGAAUGGGGUUGCUGGGGAGCCCAGAGCCCUUCUGCCUGUCACCGUCUUCCCAGAGCCCCUUUUACUGGGCCACACCCAGGCGCUCGGAGGUGUGAACUCCACCCAGCAUGUGCCAGCCCCUCCAGGCUGACCCAGUGCUGCUCCCUACACUUGUAGGGACAGAAGUGGUAGAAAUGAGGACGUAAUGGAGAGCAGAAGGGGCUGAGGGGCGGGGAGAGAGGAGAAGGCUGGGCUGCUAGGGAAGAAUCCCGGCCACCACAGGAUAUUUUCAAAGAAAUGGUUUUAUCAAUUUAAAGUGCACUUCUCGUAAAGUGAAUAGCUACUCAAAAAAAAUUUUUUUAAAUCCAAUGAAGUAGGUACUGUUAAUAUCCCAAUUCAGAGCCAAGGAAGUUGCACAUCAGAGAAAUGGUGUAACUGUCCAGGGCUGCACAGCCGAGGUCAAACCAGGUCCAGUGAAACUACAGCCUUCUGCUAUAGACUCAUGUUACAAACACCCAUAUUCUAGAAUGUUCCAGGUGCCAAAAUCCAGCUGAAAAUAAACUACAUGUCUUGUACCUUUCCUCUUCAAAGUUGCCGAUUUUAGGCUGCCAGGCUCUUGCUUGCCAGUGAGAUGUAAUUUCCCCAAUUCAUUCGGAAAGGACCUUGCAUUUGUAGUGUGUGAGCCAUACCAAUCUCGUGAAUGAUCAUCAGGUUAGAGACCAUGGAGCACACCCUGUUCAUGACCUUCCUUCUGGAGAAAAAAAUGUGCGCUUCAGUGGAAAACUACACACUGUCUACAGCACACCUUCUGGAAUUCCAGCCUUUCAUUGUCUUUGAGCUAUUGUACAACUCGGUAAAUGGUAGGUUACUGAUAAAUUCUGUCUCUCUGGUAGAUGGGACCCCUUACCCCCUCAUGGAAAAACCAGUUUUGCCUCCACGUGCACAUUCAUUUCAUUGUUCCUGGCCUAUAACUGUGAAUGUUCUUC